rnacentral:misc_RNA from 1 species
AACAGCCGCGGUAAUUCCAGCUCCAAUAGCGUAUAUUAAAGUUGUUGCAGUUAAAAAGCUCGUAGUUGAAUUUCGGGAUCAGUACGCCGGUCGUGCCUUCGGUAUGCACUGGUGUCACUGGUUUCUCCCUUCUGAAGAACCAUCAUGCCAUUCAGUUGGUGUGGCGGGGAAUCAGGACUGUUACUUUGAAAAAUUGAGUGUUUAAAGCAGGCUCGCGCUUGAAUACAUUAGCAUGGAAUAAUGAAAUAGGACGUUUGACCCUAUUUUGUUGGUUUCUAGGAUCGACGUAAUGAUUAAUAGGGAUAGUUGGGGGCAUUAGUAUUCAAUUGUCAGAGGUGAAAUUCUUGGAUUUAUUGAAGACUAACUACUGCGAAAGCAUUUGCCAAGGAUGUUUUCAUUAAUCAAGAACGAAAGUUAGGGGAUCGAAGACGAUCAGAUACCGUCGUAGUCUUAACCAUAAACUAUGCCGACUAGGGAUCGGAUGAUGUUAAUUUUUAAUGACUCAUUCGGCGCCUUAAC